GACCCGCGGACCAUUAGAGAGUUCUGAGGCAGCGCUCUGAGGAGAUGGAGCUGCGCUGUGUGUACCUGUGACACAGCGGCUCUUGAGUCUUGUGAGGCAGCUCAGCGGUGGCUGUGUGGGCGCCGCAGUGUGGAGGAGUGCAGCAGCAGUGAGUAGCAGCAAGCCCCUGGCUGACAGACAGUGGAGUCCAGAGGCUGCUAUGGUGAGCGGCCGUAGCUGUGUUGUGUCAAUGUGAGUGAAGCUGCCUGCAUCUAACAGCAGCCGGGAGAGGAGGAACUGGAGGCAGACCCGAGCGGGACUGGACGACUCAGAUGCAUAGCUUACCAAGUAGGGAGGAGCCGGAGGUCACCCAAGUACAGCAGCUCAGUGACCAGCCGUAGGCGGACCAUGGGAGGCGGCUAGACUAAUAUGUGACAGCCACAGAAGUAGAGUGAAGACGAUGAUAGCUGAGGAUACUGUGACUGCAUGCUCACUCCUAGCUAAGCAUCGAGACAGUUACCAGUGAGACAGUGACCUCUUGGAAAGUGCAUACUUUAGAAUUUCUGAGACCAUCGCUGUAAGUAACUCAGUGGAUCCUGAAGGAAGCGUUAGCAGGCAGCGCAUGGGUAAUACAGAUAGACAGGAUCUCGUGUUGCAGACAGGAGACAUCCGGCCACCGGAAGAAAAGGGAUACACUGACCGUUUGGAAAGAAGUCACCAGAGAGAGAGCGGAAGACAGAAUGACAUCCACUGCAUACACAGUGCUUCUCUAGGAAUGGAUUUUGUGGGGUGGCUGGGCAAGGUUUGAGGCAGUCGGGACAGGUGGGGUGGAUGGGCAGGGUGAGUGGCAGCGGGGACACAUGAAGGUGGCUGCGAAGGGUGAGAGGCAGCAGGGAAAGGUGGGAUGGCUGUGAAUGGUGAGAGGUGGCAGUAUCAUGUGGGCUGGCUGGGCAGAAUGAGAAGCAACAGGGACAGGCAGGGUGGCUGGACAGGAUUU